GACGAACCCUUGAGGCGUGCUUAACAUAUGCAAGUCGAACGGAAAGGCCCUGCUUUUGUGGGGUGCUCGAGUGGCGAACGGGUGAGUAACACGUGAGUAACCUGCCCUUGACUUUGGGAUAACUUCAGGAAACUGGGGCUAAUACCGGAUAGGAGCUCCUGCUGCAUGGUGGGGGUUGGAAAGUUUCGGCGGUUGGGGAUGGACUCGCGGCUUAUCAGCUUGUUGGUGGGGUAGUGGCUUACCAAGGCUUUGACGGGUAGCCGGCCUGAGAGGGUGACCGGCCACAUUGGGACUGAGAUACGGCCCAGACUCCUACGGGAGGCAGCAGUGGGGAAUAUUGCACAAUGGGCGGAAGCCUGGUGCAGCAACGCCGCGUGCGGGAUGACGGCCUUCGGGUUGUAAACCGCUUUCGCCUGUGACGAAGCGUGAGUGACGGUAAUGGGUAAAGAAGCACCGGCUAACUACGUGCCAGCAGCCGCGGUGAUACGUAGGGUGCGAGCGUUGUCCGGAUUUAUUGGGCGUAAAGGGCUCGUAGGUGGUUGAUCGCGUCGGAAGUGUAAUCUUGGGGCUUAACCCUGAGCGUGCUUUCGAUACGGGUUGACUUGAGGAAGGUAGGGGAGAAUGGAAUUCCUGGUGGAGCGGUGGAAUGCGCAGAUAUCAGGAGGAACACCAGUGGCGAAGGCGGUUCUCUGGGCCUUUCCUGACGCUGAGGAGCGAAAGCGUGGGGAGCGAACAGGCUUAGAUACCCUGGUAGUCCACGCUGUAAACGGUGGGUACUAGGUGUGGGGUCCAUUCCACGGGUUCCGUGCCGUAGCUAACGCUUUAAGUACCCCGCCUGGGGAGUACGGCCGCAAGGCUAAAACUCAAAGGAAUUGACGGGGCCCCGCACAAGCGGCGGAGCAUGCGGAUUAAUUCGAUGCAACGCGUAGAACCUUACCUGGGUUUGACAUGGAUCGGGAGUGCUCAGAGAUGGGUGUGCCUCUUUUGGGGUCGGUUCACAGGUGGUGCAUGCCUGUCGUCAGCUCGUGUCGUGAGAUGUUGGGUUAAGUCCCGCAACGAGCGCAACCCUUGUUCACUGUUGCCAGCACGUUAUGGUGGGGACUCAGUGGAGACCGCCGGGGUCAACUCGGAGGAAGGUGGGGAUGACGUCAAGUCAUCAUGCCCCUUAUGUCCAGGGCUUCACGCAUGCUACAAUGGCUGGUACAGAGAGUGGCGAGCCUGUGAGGGUGAGCGAAUCUCGGAAAGCCGGUCUCAGUUCGGAUUGGGGUCUGCAACUCGACCUCAUGAAGUCGGAGUCGCUAGUAAUCGCAGAUCAGCAACGCUGCGGUGAAUACGUUCCCGGGGCU
rnacentral:rRNA from 1 species